GGGGGAUUAGCUCAGAUGAAAGAGUGCUCGCCGCAUGCGAGAGGUAGUGGGAUCAAUGCUUGCAUCCUCCA